CAGAAUUCGCCCUUAGAGUUUGAUCCUGGCUCAGGAUGAACGCUGGCGGUAUGCUUUACACAUGCAAGUCGUACGAGAGUUUUUAACUCAAGUGGCGGACGGGUGAGUAACACGUAAGAAUUUGCCUUUAGGAGGGGGAUAACAACUGGAAACGGUUGCUAAUACCCCAUAUGCUUUCGAGUAAAAUGGAUUUUCCGCCUAAAGAGAAGCUUGCGGCUGAUUAGCUUGUUGGUGAGGUAAUGGCUCACCAAGGCGACGAUCAGUAUCUGGUUUGAGAGGACGAUCAGACACACUGGAACUGAGACACGGUCCAGACUCCUACGGGAGGCAGCAGUGGGGAAUUUUCCGCAAUGGGCGAAAGCCUGACGGAGCAAUACCGCGUGAGGGAUGACGGCCUAUGGGUUGUAAACCUCUUUUUUCAGGGAGGAAUCAAUGACGUGUACCUGAAGAAUAAGCAUCGGCUAACUCCGUGCCAGCAGCCGCGGUAAGACGGAGGAUGCAAGUGUUAUCCGGAAUCACUGGGCGUAAAGCGUCUGUAGGUGGUCAAAUAAGUCAACUGUUAAAUCUUGAGGCUCAACCUCAAAAUCGCAGUCGAAACUAUUCGACUAGAGUAUAGUAGGGGUAAAGGGAAUUUCCAGUGGAGCGGUGAAAUGCGUAGAGAUUGGAAAGAACACCGAUGGCGAAGGCACUUUACUGGGCUAUUACUAACACUGAGAGACGAAAGCUAGGGUAGCAAAUGGGAUUAGAUACCCCAGUAGUCCUAGCCGUAAGCAAUGGAUACUAGAUGUUGAACAGAUCGACCUGUGCAGUAUCAAAGCUAACGCGUUAAGUAUCCCGCCUGGGAAGUAUGCUCGCAAGAGUGAAACUCAAUGAAUUGACGGGGAAGGGC
rnacentral:rRNA from 1 species